rnacentral:misc_RNA from 1 species
GACAGCAGUUGUUGGCCAUUCAAUUACAGUGACAAGCAGUUAAAGUUGAUGCACAAGGAAAUCAUAGCCAUCUUGCAGCACAUCUGAUGGCUAUGAAUCUGAUCACACUAUAGGACAGAAUUGCAACUUGCAGUCUUUGUGACAAAAAAUGGUUCUUAAAAGCUUGGAAUGAUAAGUUUGUGCUUUGUCUUGCUCAGCACCUUUUUCUAUUAAAACUCACUUUAUGUUCAUUC